AUUGAACGCUGGCGGUAGGCCUAACACAUGCAAGUCGAGCGAGCGGCGGACGGGUGAGUAAUGUAUGGGGACUGCCCGCUCGAGGGGGAUAACUCCUGGAAACGGUGGCUAAUACCGCCUUCUUUCGUAUAACCCAUAUGGGAUUAGCUAGUAGGUAAGGGAAUGGCUUACCUAGGCGACGCUCCCUAGCUGGUCUGAGAGGAUGAUCAGCCACACUGAGACUGAGACACGGCCCAGACACCUACGGAGGCAGCAGUAGGGAAUAUUGCACAAUGGGCGCAAGCCUGAUGCAGCCAUGCCGCGUGUAUGAAGAAGGCCAUAGGUUUGUAAAGUACUUUCAGUCGGGAGGCGUUACCGACAGAAGAAACACCGGCUAACUCCGAGCCAGCAGCCGCGGUAAUUC
rnacentral:rRNA from 1 species